rnacentral:ncRNA from 2 species
ACUACUAACCGCGGUUACACAAAUAUAAGUCGGAGAUAGGGUCUGACGUUUCUACCUGCCACCGUAAAGGGCAGUCUAUUUGGAGCGAAUAUAUGUUG